GUGAGGAAUUUUCCGCAAUGGGCGAAAGCCUGACGGAGCAAUGCCGCGUGAAGGAUGAAGGCCUAUGGGUUGUAAACUUCUUUUCUCAGAAAAGAAUUAUGACGGUAUCUGAGGAAUAAGCAUCGGCUAACUCUGUGCCAGCAGCCGCGGUAAGACAGAGGAUGCAAGCGUUAUCCGGAAUGAUUGGGCGUAAAGCGUCUGUAGGUUGUUUAAAAAGUAUUCUGUCAAAGAUUAGGGCUUAACCCUAGAUAGGCAGAAUAAACUUUUAAGCUAGAGUUUGGUAGAGGCAGAGGGAAUUCCCGGUGGAGCGGUGAAAUGCGUAGAUAUCGGGAGGAACACCAAAGGCGAAGGCACUCUGCUGGGCAAAUACUAACACUGAGAGACGAAAGCGAGGGGAGCAAUGGGAUUAGAAACCCUUGUAGUCC
rnacentral:rRNA from 1 species